UACAGAGGGGGCGAGCGUUGUUCGGAAUCACUGGGUGUAAAGGGUGCGUAGGCGGUCGGUUAAGUCUGAUGUGAAAGCCCUCGGCUCAACUGAGGAAUGGCAUUGGAAACUAGCUGACUGGAGUACCGGAGAGGGAAGCGGAAUUCCUGGUGUAGCGGUGAAAUGCGUAGAUACCAGGAGGAACACCGGUGGCGAAGGCGGCUUCCUGGCCGAGUACUGACGCUGAGGCACGAAAGCGUGGGGAGCGAACGGG
rnacentral:rRNA from 1 species